UGUUAGGUGAUUGAUCUGCUGAAGGUCAAAACGCUGGAGUGGUAGAGCUGGGCCUCUGAUUCCAGCUGCUGUGAAGUUUCCACAAAUAUUUGCGAGCCUUUGGUUGGGUGGAUGGUGGGGAGUGCGUUGGGAAAAUUGCAGAGGGUUACCAUUUGGGAUUUGCCCCCCAACUUGCUGUGUCACUGACGGGCUGACCUCUCUUUGGGCUUCGGUUUCCUCAUCUGUACCAUGGGACCAGAAAAGAGGGGCUCCAAGACCUCUUUUUGAUGAAAACCCAGCAAAGACUUAAUGAUGAAGCGCCAGCUGCUAGGGCUUCCUCUUCCUAGCAGGCAGGCAAGCUGGGACCAAGGAAAAAGAAUGAUGAGCUGAGAGGCGAGAGAGAGCGAUGCAAAAGAGACCAACUUCCAUCACCGAUGUGUUUGCUCUUUUUAAAAAUUAGACUUUUCUCUAAGAAAUUUUGAGAAAAUUAGACUUUUCUAAAAAGUAGACUUUUCCAUAUUACACAAUAAAUGAGGUGCACAGCACCAGACCAUGUUGCCAGAUAAAAAAUAAAGCUUUAGCAUAAGUAUAUCCUAAA